UGGGAAUUCCUCGUGUUGCACCCCU
rnacentral:rRNA from 1 species